AGUGAACGCUGGCGGUAGGCCUAACACAUGCAAGUCGAACGGCAGCACAGGAGAGCUUGCUCUCUGGGUGGCGAGUGGCGGACGGGUGAGGAAUACAUCGGAAUCUACUCUGUCGUGGGGGAUAACGUAGGGAAACUUACGCUAAUACCGCAUACGACCUACGGGUGAAAGCAGGGGACCUUCGGGCCUUGCGCGAUUGACUGAGCCGAUGUCGGAUUAGCUAGUUGGCGGGGUAAAGGCCCACCAAGGCGACGAUCCGUAGCUGGUCUGAGAGGAUGAUCAGCCACACCGGAACUGAGACACGGUCCAGACUCCUACGGGAGGCAGCAGUGGGGAAUAUUGGACAAUGGGCGCAAGCCUGAUCCAGCCAUACCGCGUGGGUGAAGAAGGCCUUCGGGUUGUAAAGCCUUUUUGUUGGGAAAGAAAUCCAGCUGGCUAAUACCCGGUUGGGAUGACGGUACCCAAAGAAUAAGCACCGGCUAACUUCGUGCCAGCCGCCGCGGUAA
rnacentral:rRNA from 1 species